CCUUAGUGGCGCACGGGUGCGUAACGCGUGGGAAUCUGCCCUCAGGUUCGGAAUAACAGCGAGAAAUUGCUGCUAAUAUCGGAUGAUAUCGCGAGAUCAAAGAUUAUCGCCUGAGGAUGAGCCCGCGUAGGAUUAGCUAGUUGGUGUGGUAAAGGCGCACCAAGGCGACGAUCCUUAGCUGGUCUGAGAGGAUGAUCAGCCACACUGGGACUGAGACACGGCCCAGACUCCUACGGGAGGCAGCAGUGGGGAAUAUUGGACAAUGGGCGAAAGCCUGAUCCAGCAAUGCCGCGUGAGUGAUGAAGGCCUUAGGGUUGUAAAGCUCCUUUACCCGGGAUGAUAAUGACAGUACCGGGAGAAUAAGCUCCGGCUAACUCCGUGCCAGCAGCCGCGGUAAUACGGAGGGAGCUAGCGUUAUUCGGAAUUACUGGGCGUAAAGCGCACGUAGGCGGCUUUGUAAGUUAGAGGUGAAAGCCUGGAGCUCAACUCCAGAAUUGCCUUUAAGACUGCAUCGCUUGA
rnacentral:rRNA from 1 species